rnacentral:rRNA from 1 species
GGSUCAGAUUGAACGCUGGCGGCAGGCCUAACACAUGCAAGUCGAACGGUAGCACAGAGGAGCUUGCUCCUUGGGUGACGAGUGGCGGACGGGUGAGUAAUGUCUGGGAAACUGCCCGAUGGAGGGGGAUAACUACUGGAAACGGUAGCUAAUACCGCAUAACGUCGCAAGACCAAAGAGGGGGACCUUCGGGCCUCUUGCCAUCGGAUGUGCCCAGAUGGGAUUAGCUAGUAGGUGGGGUAACGGCUCACCUAGGCGACGAUCCCUAGCUGGUCUGAGAGGAUGACCAGCCACACUGGAACUGAGACACGGUCCAGACUCCUACGGGAGGCAGCAGUGGGGAAUAUUGCACAAUGGGCGCAAGCCUGAUGCAGCCAUGCCGCGUGUAUGAAGAAGGCCUUCGGGUUGUAAAGUACUUUCAGCGAGGAGGAAGGCRUUG